GGGAUUGCCCUAGUAACGGCGAGUGAAGCGGCAACAGCUCAAAUUUGAAAUCUGGCGCAAGCCCGAGUUGUAAUUUGUAGAGGAUGCUUCUGGGUAGCGACCGAUCUAAGUUCCUUGGAACAGGACGUCAUAGAGGGUGAGAAUCCCGUAUGUGACCGGCCCGCACCCUUUACGUAGCUCCUUCGACGAGUCGAGUUGUUUGGGAAUGCAGCUCUAAAUGGGAGGUAAAUUUCUUCUAAAGCUAAAUACCGGCCAGAGACCGAUAGCGCACAAGUAGAGUGAUCGAAAGAUGAAAAGUACUUUGGAAAGAGAGUUAAAAAGCACGUGAAAUUGUUGAAAGGGAAGCGCCUGCAACCAGACUUCGCGGCAGUGUUCCGCCGGUCUUCUGACCGGUUCAUUCUCUGUCGCGAGGCCAUCAUCGUCUGGGCCCGCCGGAUAAGACCUUAGGAAUGUAGCUCGCCCUCGGGUGAGUGUUAUAGCCUAUGGUGAUGCGGCGAGGCUCGGGCGAGGUCCGCGCUUCGGCAAGGAUGAUGGCGUAAUGGUUGUCGGCGGCCCGUCUUGAAACACGGACCAAGGAGUCUAACAUCUAUGCGAGUGUUCGGGUGUCAAACCCCUACGCGUAAUGAAAGUGAACGGAGGUGGGAACCGCAAGGCGCACCAUCGACCGAUCCUGAUGUCCUCGGAUGGAUUUGAGUAAGAGCAUAGCUGUUGGGACCCGAAAGAUGGUGAACUAUGCCUGAAUAGGGUGAAGCCAGAGGAAACUCUGGUGGAGGCUCGCAGCGGUUCUGACGUGCAAAUCGAUCGUCAAAUUUGGGUAUAGGGGCG
rnacentral:rRNA from 1 species